ensembl:misc_RNA Metazoa_SRP Metazoan signal recognition particle RNA
ACUGGGUGCGUGGCGCGUGACUGUAGUCCCAGCUACUGGGGAGGCUGAGGUGGGAGGAUUGCUUGAGCCCAGGAGUUUUGGGCUGUAGUGAGCUAUGCCAAUCAGAUGUCUGCACUAAGUUUGGCAUCAAUACGGUAGUUUCCCGGGAGCGGGGAACCACGAGGUUGCCUAAGGAGGGGUGAUCUGGCCCAGGUCGGAAACGGAGCAGGUCAAAACUCCCGUGCUGAUCAGUAGUGGGAUUGCACCUGUGAAUAGCCACUGCACUCCAGCCUGGGCAACAUAGGAGACCCUGUCUCUU